UUACUAUCCUGGAACCGGGCUUCGUCGAACCUCAGCUCUUGGAGUAAACGGUGGUACUCGCCGAGAUGUUUCCUCGCCCACAGAAUGUCAUGAACCCACAUACGGUGUAGCCAUGACGUGCAACCAGUGAGUCAGGCCUUCCUAAUGAAGUUUCCACACAGGGAUACAUGCACACCUUGUAAACGAGAACUGGCGAAAAACGAUCCAAUCAGUCCAAUUGAUUUUGCACACUUCACUCCGGCUAAAGGAUGCUGAUCUCAGUGAUUAGGACUGACCUUUGGGGGAUUUGGAACCAGGAUUGACAGGGGUCCAGUGAUGAGCUGCAGUUGCUUUUAUCAGUGUAUGAUAUUGUAAGCAAGCACUCAAAAAAUAUACUUGACAGCAGUCAAACAUCCCAAUAAUCAAGGCUUAAAGGCUCUUGAGAAUGCAACCCCAAGAGGAAGAGGAGGGCAGCAAGUUAACAACUAGUUUCCUAAUGCUUCACCUGUUGUCCGGUGACGUGAGCUGCACCAUUGAUUAAAAGUGCGUGGGUGGUCUUUAUACCAGCCACAUACACAAACACACACUCCCCAUUCAGAAAGGAGCAGGAGACCCUUUACCUCAAUCACACCCUGAGGCCUUGAGACUCCGAGCUCCAUACCUUACGCGUCUAUAAAAAGAGCUUUCCUCCGCUAAAGAAGAACCAGCAGACCCUCUCCUACUGAGCAUUUCAUCACAGAGCAGAGAGAGAGCAGAAGAGGAGGAGAGGGAUCACAGAUAAGAGUCGUCACUCUGGAAGAUCUGUGGACAAACGGAGGGAGUAAAGCAAGAAGAGAGGAAAAGAAAGAAUUUGGAAAAGCUUAUAGCAUCACUUGUGUUUCUGUCCUCCACACCUGGCUGAAGAUGGUGUGUCUAUGUUGGCUGUUAGUGGUGGUGAUGGCAUACGUGUGUGUCCCCGGGUUCGGGUCGGUGUGCUGGGACAGCUCCUUCUGCAACAACCUGAGCAACAAGGGAAGGAUACUGGACUGUAUUCAGCUCUGCAUGUCUGUGAUCCAGACUGAAUUUCCAGAGCUUAGCUCAUUGGCCCUGAAGGUUAAUGAUAAGGAUGACCUCUUACUCAGGAUCCUUCCAGCCACCCUGGUCUCUGAAGGCAAAAUAUCAACAUCAGAUCUGAAAGCCCACAGCGACCAGCGACGCUCCUAUUCAAUGGAGCAUUUCCGCUGGGGCAAGCCCUCAGGCCGUAAACGCCGGCCUAUAAAAGUUUUUGCCUCUUCUCUGGAGGGAGGGGGCUCUUCCGAGGGCAGUGUACUCCCUCGGGGUCGCAGACAGCUGAGCAGUAAGGAAGAUGAAGCAAAGGUGGACCUGAAUGGAGGGCUGACAAGGUUCAUCUCUAAGUCACAUGUCCCUCUAAGCCCACAGCAGAGAAAAGAUGGGACCUAUAAGAUGAGUCACUUCAGAUGGGGGAGCCCAACUGUGUCUAAACGUAAUGGCAGCUUUAUGAAGUCGUGGGAGAAGAAAUCUCAGAGGCAGCUGGCUAGGCUCUUCAGGAACAUUAUAGUCACGGAUGUGCAAGGAUAAUGGGCUGAAUGGAGGAUGGAGAAGAAGGGGAGGGCAAGGUAGCUGAGAGAGUCAAAUAGCUAUUGCAUGUUAGUACCAACAGGUCUUAAUUUUAACUUAUCACUAUUAUUAGCAUGUUGUUGAAUGUCUUUUCUGGGCCAAAGGUUUGUCUCAAUAAAAUCUUAACUAAAGAUAAGAAGCAAGGCAGUUUUCUGUUGAAUAAAAACAACAAACCCAAAGACUGCCUUGACCUUCUUGGUCUACUGGAAAGCUUUCUAAGGAUAUUUUUUUUCUUUUAGGAAACAUCAUUAUUGCUCCACAUGUUUUGUAAAAGGAAGUAAACCGAGAAUGUCAUUCCAGGGCAAGAGACAACAUGAACUAUAAGGAUUAUUAUCAGUGACGCCAGACACCUGAUGAAGGCCACGGGAUGCAGCUGAAAGCUCCAGAAAUAAACAUUUUCUAUUAAAUGGACAGUGUGUAAAGAACUGUAUUGUACAGUACAAUAUUACUGGUGACAGAUGAAGAAGGAUAAUGACUUAUGACUUAUACAGUAUACAGGGAGUAAACUAAAUAUUAUGUUGAAGAUGAGACUGUAAUAAUUACACUGUAACAAAUGUGAUAUUAGAUUUGUGGUAGUAUUUCUCAGCUUGAAAAUAUGCCUGGAAAGCAGCCCUUGAUGUGAGUGACUUGAUGAGUUGUCAAAU